GCAGGUGAGGGAAGCUCAUCAGCAGGGCCACAUGCUGAGUGCUUAUCACUUGAUGGUCCCUGGGAAGGUCUGAGACUGGGUCCUCCCUGAGAAAUCUGGGAAGUGAGUUCUCAGAGCAGGCAGACCCUGCAGGAGAGGCCCUGGGUGGGCAAGCAGAUGCCUCCCUCACAGGAACUUGGAACAGACUCAGGGCCAGGAUGGGCAGGGCUGUUAUUAGCCUACAGGAGAGGCUCCUGUAACUCUCACAGAAGGCAGAAAUGCAUUCUCUCUAC
rnacentral:RNase_P_RNA from 1 species